GCCGCUGUGGUGGAAUGGUAGACACGAGGGACUUAAAAUCCCUUGGCCAAUUACGGUCGUGCUGGUUCGAUUCCAGCCAGCGGCACCA
rnacentral:tRNA from 1 species